rnacentral:rRNA from 1 species
GAGCUCAAAUUUGAAAGCUGGCUCCUUCGNGGUCCGCAUUGUAAUUUGCAGAGGAUGCUUCGGGAGCGGCCCCCAUCUAAGUGCCCUGGAACGGGCCGUCAUAGAGGGUGAGAAUCCCGUCUGGGAUGGGGUGCCCGCGCCCGUGUGAAGCUCCUUCGACGAGUCGAGUUGUUUGGGAAUGCAGCUCUAAAUGGGUGGUAAAUUUCAUCUAAAGCUAAAUACUGGCCGGAGACCGAUAGCGCACAAGUAGAGUGAUCGAAAGAUGAAAAGCACUUUGAAAAGAGAGUUAAACAGCACGUGAAAUUGUUGAAAGGGAAGCGCUUGCGACCAGACUCGCCUGUAGGGUUCAGCCGGCAUUCGUGCCGGUGUACUUCCCUGCGGGCGGGCCAGCGUCGGUUUGGGCGGCCGGUCAAAGGCCCUCGGAAUGUAACGCCCCCCGGGGCGUCUUAUAGCCGAGGGUGCCAUGCGGCCAGCCCGGACCGAGGAACGCGCUUCGGCUCGGACGCUGGCAUAAUGGUCGUAAGCGACCCGUC